GACGAACGCUGGCGGCGUGCUUAACACAUGCAAGUCGAGCGGUAAGGCCCUUUCGGGGGUACACGAGCGGCGAACGGGUGAGUAACACGUGGGUGACCUGCCCUCAGCUCUGGGAUAAGCCCGGGAAACUGGGUCUAAUACCGGAUAUGACUCCAUGACGCAUGUUGUGGGGUGGAAAGCCUUGUGCGGCUAGGGAUGGGCCCGCGGCCUAUCAGCUUGUUGGUGGGGUGAUGGCCUACCAAGGCGACGACGGGUAGCCGGCCUGAGAGGGCGACCGGCCACACUGGGACGUGAGAUACGGCCCAGACUCCUACGGGAGGGCAGCAGUGGGGAAGUCUUGCGCAAUGGGCGAAAGCCUGACGCAGCGACGCCGCGUGAGGGAUGACGGCC
rnacentral:rRNA from 1 species